rnacentral:rRNA from 1 species
UGGAGCGUGUGGUUUAAUUCGAUGCUACGCGAAGAACCUUACCCAGGUUUGACAUACAGGUAGUAGGGAUUCGAAAGAUGACCGACCCUUCGGGGAGCCUGUACAGGUGCUGCAUGGCUGUCGUCAGCUCGUGCCGUGAGGUGUCCGGUUAAGUCCGGUAACGAGCGCAACCCCCAUUGUGUGUUAUAUGUGUCACACGAAACUGCCGGUAUCAAGCCGGAGGAAGGUGGGGAUGACGUCAAGUCAGCAUGGCCUUUAUAUCUUGGGCA